AUCAGAUUUUUCCAACGAGGGUUCGGUGGGAAAUUGAAAGUUCUGUGUGUGGAGUAUUAACAGUAGAAAUUUAGGAUACCAGUUUCUUCCGAUGAAGAUGAAGAUUAAAAGAAAAGAUCUCGAUCAAAUUAACGAUGACUUCUCAGAUUUCUCCCUCUCAUCGCCUGCCAGGAAGAUUCGUCGUCUGGAUGUUGGUUUGCCGCCUAUCAUAGAAGAAGAAGAACCUCAGGAAAUUGCUGUUUUAAGCAAAGAGCCUUUGAUUCCUGAAAAUUUCGUAGUAGGUGGAAAUGGUCUGAGGAUUGAGGAAUUGCCGGACGCUUCUUCUGUUUCUCCUUCAGCUUAUGCUGUGGAAGAUUGUCCUUCCUGCGACAAUCAUGAGAGGGCUAUUGUUCUGUUUAAACCUGUUAAUACGUCUUUCUUGCAAUCUUCUCCUCUUUCGGUAUCUGUCGAUUCCGACAUUAUAUCUGGUUUCAAGAGCGAAUUUCUUCGUGAGAAUCGUUAUGAUGGCCGGCUGAAAUUUGAUGAAGAUGAUGAGGAAAUGGGAACGGAGAACAAGAAUCUGGCUGUUGUUCCUUGGGUUCCUCGUUUGCAGGUUCCUGCUUCCACAAACAUGGAGGUUCCCCAAGAGGAGGCUCCACAGUUGAUGGAAGCUGAAGAAGUUGGAGAGGCAACAAUGGAGAUUGAAGAAG
rnacentral:misc_RNA from 1 species